CACCCAUGUCUUUUGCGCACUUGUUGUUUCCUGGGCGGGUUCGCCCGCCACCAGGACCAAACCAUAAACCUUUUUCUUAUGCAGUUUCCAUCAGCGUCAGUAAAAACAAUGUAAUAAUUACAACUUUCAACAACGGAUCUCUUGGUUCUGGCAUCGAUGAAGAACGCAGCGAAAUGCGAUACGUAGUGUGAAUUGCAGAAUUCAGUGAAUCAUCGAAUCUUUGAACGCACAUUGCGCCCUUUGGUAUUCCAAAGGGCAUGCCUGUUCGAGCGUCAUUUGUACCUUCAAGCUUUGCUUGGUGUUGGGCGUUUUUGUCUCCCUCUUUCUGGGAGACUCGCCUUAAAACGAUUGGCAGCCGGCCUACUGGUUUCGGAGCGCAGCACAUUUUUUGCGCUUUGUAUCAGGAGAAAAGGACGGUACUCCAUCAAGACUUUUACAAUUUUAACUUUUGACCUCGGAUCAGGUAGGGAUACCCGCUGAACUUAAGCAUAUCAA
rnacentral:rRNA from 1 species